rnacentral:rRNA from 1 species
AACGAACGCUGGCGGCAUGCCUAACACAUGCAAGUCGAACGAGACCUUCGGGUCUAGUGGCGCACGGGUGCGUAACGCGUGGGAACCUGCCCUUAGGUUCGGAAUAACUCCCCGAAAGGGGUGCUAAUACCGGAUAAUGUCUUCGGACCAAAGAUUUAUCGCCUUUGGAUGGGCCCGCGUUGGAUUAGUUAGUUGGUAGGGUAAAAGCCUACCAAGGCGACGAUCCAUAGCUGGUCUGAGAGGAUGAUCAGCCACACUGGGACUGAGACACGGCCCAGACUCCUACGGGAGGCAGCAGUGGGGAAUAUUGGACAAUGGGCGAAAGCCUGAUCCAGCAAUGCCGCGUGAGUGAUGAAGGCCUUAGGGUUGUAAAACUCUUUUACCCGGGAUGAUAAUGACAGUACCGGGAGAAUAAACUCCGGCUAACUCCGUG